AUGCUCUCUUUCUCUACUCUCUUUGACGGUGCGGCACACGAGUUUCCAUUUCGGCUUUCAUCACAACUCGUCACUGUGAACAUCCAAUGCGCCGAUCCUCUUCUCCUGUUGUUCUCCAUUAAUCCCUUGCUCAGCUCAUGGUCUUAUGAUUCCUUACUUCAUCUUCUCCAAAUCCAGAAAUACGUCGAGAACCUAGAGGCUUCUGAGUACGAUUACACUAUGACAGGGAUGAAUCAACACCUAGCGCCUUAG